UGCGGUAUCCUGACCGUGCUAAGGUAGCGUGAUAAGUCGCCCUUUAAUUGUGGGCUUGUAUGAACGGAUAAACGAAAGACUCCCUGUCUCCUAAGAAAAAAUAAAAAUUGACCUUCAGGUGAAGAGACCUGAAUAAAAAUAAAGGACAAGAAGACCCUGUAGAGCUUAGUUCAUAAUAAAUUAUAUCCACAUACUUAUUUUCCCCAAUACUGUAUACAAAUUUAGUUUAUAAAAACUUAGCUGGGGCGGCUAAGGAAAUCAAUCUUCCAUUUCCAUAAUUUAAACCGGUUCUAUCUUAAACCAAUAUAAAUUGACCCUCCAAAGAUCAAAAAAUAAAGCUACCUCAGGGAUAACAGAUUAAUCCUUCUCGAGAGUUCACAUUGACAGAAGGGCUUGACACCUCGAUGUUGGCUUAAGGUACCCAAUAGAUCCGCAGCAGUCUAUAAAGGUAGGUUUGUUCAACCUUUAAAACCUUACAUGAUCUGAGUUCAAACCGGAGA
rnacentral:rRNA from 1 species